rnacentral:misc_RNA from 1 species
GAUGAACUCAUCCAGUUCGAA